GAUGAACGCUGGCGGCGUGCCUAAUACAUGCAAGUCGAGCGAACGGACGAGAAGCUUGCUUCUCUGAUGUUAGCGGCGGACGGGUGAGUAACACGUGGAUAACCUACCUAUAAGACUGGGAUAACUUCGGGAAACCGGAGCUAAUACCGGAUAAUAUUUUGAACCGCAUGGUUCAAAAGUGAAAGACGGUCUUGCUGUCACUUAUAGAUGGAUCCGCGCUGCAUUAGCUAGUUGGUAAGGUAACGGCUUACCAAGGCAACGAUGCGUAGCCGACCUGAGAGAGGGAUAGGCCACACUGGAACUGGGACACGGUCCAGACUCCUACGGGAGGCAGCAGUAGGGAAUCUUCCGCAAGGGGCGAAAGCCUGACGGAGCAACGCCGCGUGAGUGAUGAAGGUCUUCGGAUCGUAAAACUCUGUUAUUAGGGAAGAACUUAUGUGUAAGUAACUGUGCACAUCUUGACGGUACCUAAUCAGAAAGCCACGGCUAACUACGUG
rnacentral:rRNA from 1 species